GUGCCAGCAGCCGCGGUAAUACGUAGGGGGCAAGCGUUGUCCGGAAUUAUUGGGCCGUAAAGCGCGCGCAGGCCGGUUCUUUAAGUCUGGUGUUUAAACCCGAGGCUCAACUUCGGGUCGCACUGGAAACUGGGGGACUUGAGUGCAGAAGAGGAGAGUGGAAUUCCACGUGUAGCGGUGAAAUGCGUAGAUAUGUGGAGGAACACCAGUGGCGAAGGCGACUCUCUGGGCUGUAACUGACGCUGAGGCGCGAAAGCGUGGGGAGCAAACAGGAUUAGAUACCCUGGUAGUCC
rnacentral:rRNA from 1 species